ensembl:ncRNA lncRNA:CR43416 long non-coding RNA:CR43416
CCAAAGUGGAAGCGAAGCAGGAGACAGCAGGAUGUUGCUGCGGCUGCUGCUUGUGUGUUGCACAGUGUAAGCUGCAAACACUAGAGCUGACAAAGCAAAGGCAACACAGGUCCAAAUCGCCAUGACAAGUGUAAAAAUGCAAUCACAGAGGCGUGGCAUCUUCAUGGAGUCGCUAUAUGCGUGGUUCGUGGCAGCGAACGAAUGUUGCCACCGAUGUUGCUGCCCCAGCUAACGUUGACAUUGCCAUGUCAUCACUCUCGCUCAGACAGUCAGUCAAGUUGGAGGCACUUCGCCGGGCGCCCCUAUCCGCAUUCUGGCUCACCCCGGGGGCUUAUGCUCCUGUUAUUUACAAUAGCGCAUUUUUACACAUAUUUUUUCAAAGUCAACAACAUGAUUUUCGCAGUCUACGCUGCGCGACGUGUGCAUAAAACCCAAACACAGCAGCAGAGCAACAGGGAAACAACAUUUACAUUUUAAGUAGUUUUUAAAUCGCUGCAGACAAACGUCAGCGUGUUGACAAUUUAUCAUGCUCCUGCUCCUGCUCCUUCGAAGUUGGAAGUGGGGGGCGCUGGGUGGUCAGUGGGUGGUUGCUGGUUGUGUGGUGCUGGGACGUGAUACAUCCGGCGCCACCCGUCGCGCUAAGGCCAGUGAAAUUUUUGAUUGAUUGCUGUCAGAUGGCGGAGUGUUUAAGCACAGACUGCAACUGUAUUUGCCAGCCGGAAGUAAAGUAAACUCGGAAAACUAC